CUUUACUAUAACUUGGAAUUGGGUUCGGGCUUCUCUUGCGCAGCCUAGGUGGGAGGCUAUGAAGAUUUCCUUCCGGGGAAGUUGGAGCCAUCAGUGAGAGACCACUCUGGAGAGGCUAGAAUCCUAAUGGUGAUCCUUGAAUCAGGACACUUGACAGUUUCAGGUGGGCAGUUUUUCUGGGGCGGAAGCCUCAUAAAGGGUAACUGAGGCGCGCAAAGGUCCCCUCAGUCUGGACGGAAAUCAGACAACGAGUGUAAAGGCAAAAGGGGGCUUGACUGCAAGACCUACAAGUCGAGCAGGAGCGAAAGCUGGCCUUAGUGAUCCGACGGUACCGUGUGGAAGGGCCGUCGCUCAACGAAUAAAAGUUA
rnacentral:rRNA from 1 species